AAUGACAGAGUAAUCUUUGAUGCUUCGGCAGUCCGAAAGAAGCGCCCUCGGGUGACUGCAAAUCCUCAUGGCCUGAAAGAGCGAGCCUUUCUGGUGGCCCCCCCGCAUAGCCUUUGAAAUCGGAAAUCACCCAACGGUGGUCAAGGUAUUU
rnacentral:sRNA from 1 species